rnacentral:ribozyme from 12 species
UUCGCAAACAUAAACACAACACAUAGAAUGAGGGCGUUAGGGGUAGAUAGUGAUCGUUAGAACACAAGAAAAACUAAAAACGAUCAAGUACAAAUGGAAGUGAUCGAUUUCUGUCUUUCUAAAUUAAACAGAAUUUAAUAAUUUGUUUAGAUUUCUUUUUCAUAAAAAUAAGAGAAUCAGCUU